CCCUCUCAGUAGUCGCUGACGGCAGCCAGCCAGCCAGGUUCGUGACCUCUGCUGCCGGCAUAAUACAAAACCUCGGCAGUCAUCACAUAAAGCGUAAUUAUGCAUCAGGAAGCCAGAAAAGAAAGAAGAGCAAGGAAGAGGAGGAUAAGGAAAAACAAGAUAGUGCCCUCAGGCUCUUCCUUAAGAACCCUCCACUGAUGAAGCUACACCAUCAACUUCAUCUUCCAUUCAUGAGGAAGAAGCUGACAUGGAAGAGAGCCAUGUCCAUUUUGCUUGGGGCCCCCAAAUUCCUUGAAACGGCCCUGAAUCCAUCCCUCCUACAUCAUAAAUUAAUAGCAAAAGACUAAAGUGAAUGUGAAAUUUGCCAACCAAGUAUUUGCAUCUGUGCAUACACUGUAUUUACCAAAUACCUUUCAAAGAGUAGAAUUUAGUUGGCCAAUAAAAUAAAAACCUCAGUCUCCAAUGUGUCAACUCUUCAGGAACAGAAAAGGUAGCUCACAUUGUUGUUUCAAACUUGGUGAGACAUAACAAACCAGGGUGUUUUCACUGAGGACAUCUCGGCUUGUCCAAAGAAAGAAAUCACAGGCGUGACCGGUAACGUUAGCGAUGGCUCCAUUCUGUCACCUGCCCCAGUGAGUCAUGUCAGUGGGUGAGCAGGUACAAUACCAGAGCCCUGGAACAAGCUCACCUAAAUGGAAUGAAGCCAUCGUUAAUGAUAGAAAUUCCACCUGUGCGUCCACAGAGGUUUUUUCACUAACAUAGGUACUUUUGAGUUUGGUUUCACUGACAUUUU
rnacentral:lncRNA from 1 species